rnacentral:rRNA from 1 species
GGAUGCAAUCAUACCAGCACUAAAGCACCGGAUCCCAUCAGAACUCCGAAGUUAAGCGUGCUUGGGCGAGAGUAGUACUAGGAUGGGUGACCUCCUUGGAAGUCCUCGUGUUGCAUUCC